CGUUAGCGGCGGACGGGUGAGUAACACGUGGGUAACCUACCUAUAAGACUGGGAUAACUUCAGGAAACCGGAGCUAAUACCGGAUAAUAUUUCGAACCGCAUGGUUCGAUAGUGAAAGAUGGUUUUGCUAUCACUUAUAGAUGGACCUGCGCCGUAUUAGCUAGUUGGUAAGGUAACGGCUUACCAAGGCGACGAUACGUAGCCGACCUGAGAGGGUGAUCGGCCACACUGGAACUGAGACACGGUCCAGACUCCUACGGGAGGCAGCAGUC
rnacentral:rRNA from 1 species